CACGACACGACACCACCUGAAAGACACAACACGACUUCUCUCAAGCUGCCGUUUUGACAGUUUUCAGGAGUGAGAGAAUAACCCCCUGCUACAGAAAACAUAACACAAGAUUCCUAAAUUUCUGAAGGGAGCUGAUCACAGAGAUGCAGAAAAGACAGGAGGUCAAAGUUUAACCUAAGUGCUGUGUAGCUGAUGAACAUCUUUAUAUGCAAAACCGGAGCACCCAGAGAAAACCCACGCAAACGCAGGGAGAAUUUGCA